rnacentral:rRNA from 1 species
GACCUCAAAUCAGUAAGAAUACCCGCUGAACUUAAGCAUAUCAUAAGCGGAGGA